CCCUUGCAGUUCAUUUCCUCUGUGUGGCCAUUUUCUGCCAAGAAAUCCAGCUUUAUAUCCAUUUGCGGGCAAAGAUUGGAUCUUGCUCUGUCACCACCCAGGCUGGAGAGCAGUGGCACAGUCAUAUCUUACUGCAGCCUCGACUUCCUGGGCUCAAGUGAUCUUCCCACCUCAGCUUCCCAAGUAGCUGGGACUACAGGUACAUGCCACUACACCUGGCUAAUUGUGUUUUUAUUUUUAUUUUUUGAGAUGGAGUGUUGCUCUUGUAGCCCAGGCUGGAGUGCAAUGGUCUGAUCUUGGCUCACUGCAACCAGUGCCUCUCUGGUUCAAGCAAUUCUCCUGCCUCAGCCUCCUGAGUAGCUGAGAUUACACGUGCCUGCCACCAAGCCUGGCUAAUUUUUGUAUUUUUAGUAGAGGUGGGAUUUCACCUUGUUGGUCAGGCUGUUCUCAAACUCCUGACCUCAGGUGAUCCACCCCCCUCGGCCUCCCAAAGUGCUGGGGUUACAAGCAUGAGCCACUGCACCUGGCCUGUUUUUGUUUUUCAUAGAGAUGAGUUCUCCUGGCUAUGUUGCUCAGGCUGGUCUUGAACUCCUGGGCUCAAGUCAUGCUCCCACCUUGGCCUCCUAAAGUGCUAGGAUUGGAGGCCUGAGCCACUGCACCCAGCUCACAAGCAUACAUUUUAUUUUUGUGUCUUAUAUUCAUUCAUUUAAUUCAUUUAAUUAAAUUGAUUUUCUUUUUAAGAUUUUUAUUCUUUUAUAUAAAACACUUAUUUUCAUAUUCAUCUCUGAAAGUUAUCAGGGUUUGCCACCCCAAAAUAUGCUACAUUGGUAUAAGAAUUGUUUCUGAGCCAAAGGCAUUUGAGUUUCUGAAA
rnacentral:lncRNA from 1 species